AGAGAAACAUACAAACAAACAAAAAGGGUUAUUUAUUUCCAAACAUUCCUUUCCCACAAUUUAUGAUUUUGAUGACUCUUUUUUUUUUCUUUUUAAUUUUAUUUUGUUUCAUGUUCAUGAUUAAAUCUGUAUGCUGGCUUAUUUGAGUGACUGCUCUCUGACUGCGGUUUCCUCAGUCCUAGUUCUUCCCCUUCUUUUUUUUUUUUUUUCCCUUUCCUUCCUUUCUUUUUGGUUUAGAGAAGUCCUUUCAGUUUUUCUUUUAGCCUGGGUUUUGUGCCUGUAUUCGUUUAGCUUUUGUUUGUUGGAAAAAAUUUUUAUUUCCCCUUCUAUUUUAAAUGAUAUUCUUGCUGGAUAGAGUAUUCUAGGUUGCAUAUUUUUUCCUUUUAGCACUUUAAAUAUCUCUUGCCAUUCCCUCCUGGCCUGUAGUAUUUCUGUAGAGAAAUCAGCUGAUAAUCUUAUGGGGGUUCCAUUGUAGGUAACAUUCUGCUUUUCUCUUGCUGCCUUUAGGAUCCUCUCUUUAUCACUAACUUUUGCCAUUUUUAUUAUGAUGUGUCUUGGUGUGGGUCUAUUUGGGUUCAAUUUGUUUGUGCUUCCUGUAUCUUGAGCUCAGUAUGCUUUCGAUUUGGGAAGUUUCCAGCGAUAAUUUCUUCAAAUAUAUUUUCCAUUCCCUUAUCUUUUUCUACUCCUUCUGGAAUUCCUAUUAUGCACAGAUUGGCCUGCUUUAUAUUAUCCCAUAGGUCUCUUAUAUUGCUUUACAGUUUUUUCAUUUGGUUUUCUGUCUGCUGACCUGAUUGGGUGAUUUCCAUUAUUCUAUCUUCCACAUCACUAAUUCGUUCUUCUGCAUUAUUCAUUCUGGUUUUUAUUGCCCUUAGUUCAGUUUGUAUCUCUGCAAAUGAAUGUUCUAGUUUUUCCUGGCUCCUCCUUAUAUUUUCUAGUUCUUUUCUUAGGGUAUCUGCAUUACUGUUCAUAUCUUCUCUUAAUUCCUUCAGUAUUUUCACUAUUUCUCUUUUGAACUCCAGGUCUGUCAGACUGCAGAGAUCUGUUUCAUUGUUGACUGUUUUAGGUGAGUUCUCCUGUUGGUUUGACUGGGGGUGGUUUCUCAGCUUCUUCAUCUUGCUUGUUGUUUUCUUUCUCCUGAGGGAGUUGUACUCUCCGUUAUCGGGCAGUGUUUGCCUUGUCACUGCCGUGGAAUAUUUCCUGAGG
rnacentral:lncRNA from 1 species